UUCCAAAUGAACACCCACCCUAUGCGGGCUUUCAAACACUUUAACACUGGUUUUGCUUCGCUAUCUCACGUGAUCCCUCCUACUCGUGAAUAUUUCACAUAAUCUAGAUCAACCUUCAAUCUCCAGGUUGUGUGCAGCUCCAUGUACUGCCACCCUCCAUAUAUGUGUUGACGGAGUUACGACACAGAAACAUGACAACCAUCUGGACAAUGGCAGCUGUGGUCAGUCUCUUGGUGAUGAUCUUGUGUGUGGGACUGGUCACAAGCUCUGUGGUGCCUGGCCCUGUGGAAGUUGCACAGGACAGAGAUCGAGAUAAACGCUCGCCAAGUGCAUCCUGUGGAUUACUACCCUGGUAUUGUGCCUACAUAAAACGACUUCAACAAUUCGCCUUCUGGGCAGAGUUUUAUAAGAAAAUCUGCCAUUCCGUGUGUACUGCAUCUGGAUAACGACAGCAACACCAAAUUCAACCGUGAGGAAGACAAUGUCUGUUCUUUGUUAACAUGCACAAGCAUUGUUACUUGUGAAUUCGUCUGUCUCUCUGCAGGAAAAUGGAACAUAAACGAUAACAUGAGA